CAGCCGCCGCGGUAAUACGAAGGGGGCUAGCGUUGUUCGGAAUUACUGGGCGUAAAGCGCACGUAGGCGGAUAUUUAAGUCAGGGGUGAAAUCCCAGAGCUCAACUCUGGAACUGCCUUUGAUACUGGGUAUCUUGAGUAUGGAAGAGGUAAGUGGAAUUCCGAGUGUAGAGGUGAAAUUCGUAGAUAUUCGGAGGAACACCAGUGGCGAAGGCGGCUUACUGGUCCAUUACUGACGCUGAGGUGCGAAAGCGUGGGGAGCAAACAGGAUUAGAACCCCCGUAGUCCCUGUCUCUUAUACA
rnacentral:rRNA from 1 species